ACGGAAGGCAGCAGUAGGGAAUAUUGCACAAUGGGGGGAACCCUGAUGCAGCAACGCCACGUGUGGGAAGAAGCAUUUCGGUGUGUAAACCACUGUCGUGAGGGAAUAAUGCUUGAUUUCGGUCAAGUUGAAUGUACCUCGAAAGGAAGCACCGGCAAACUUCGUGCCAGCAGCCGCGGUAAUACGAGGGGUGCAAGCGUUGUUCGGAAUCACUGGGCGUAAAGGGAGCGUAGGCGGAGACGCAAGCAGUCUGUACAAUACCGGGGCCCAACCCCGGACCUGCAGACUGGACUGCGUCUCUUGGAUAGUUCAGGGGCAGGCGGAAUUCCUGGUGUAGCGGUGGAAUGCGUAGAGAUCAGGAAGAACACCGAUGGCGAAGGCAGUCUGCUGGGGACUCAUCGACGCUGAGGCUCGAAAGUGCGGGUAGCAAACAGGAUUAGAUACCCUGGUA
rnacentral:rRNA from 1 species